rnacentral:rRNA from 1 species
CCUACGGGUGGCUGCAGUGAGGAAUAUUGGUCAAUGGGCGUAAGCCUGAACCAGCCAAGUCGCGUGAGGGAUGAAGGUUCUAUGGAUCGUAAACCUCUUUUAUAAGGGAAUAAAGAGCGGGACGUGUCCCGUCUUGUAUGUACCUUAUGAAUAAGGAUCGGCUAACUCCGUGCCAGCAGCCGCGGUAAUAAGGAGGAUCCGAGCGUUAGCCGGAUUUAUUGGGUUUAAAGGGGGCGUAGGCGGCCUUGUAAGUCAGCGGUGAAAGGCUGUGGCUCAACCAUAGAAUUGCGGUUGAAACUGGGAGGCUGGAGUUUGUUAGAGGCAGGCGGAAUGCGUGGUGUAGCGGUGAAAUGCUUAGAUAUCACGCAGAACCCCGAUUGCGAAGGCAGCCUACCAAGUCAUGACUGACGCUGAUGCACGAAAGCGUGGGGAUCAAACAGGAUUAGAUACCCCUGUAGUC